CUGCCCCUCAUCACCUCGAUAAAGACCGAGACGGACGACGAAUCGCAAGGGCCGGCGGCAAACGUCGCUGAUUUGUCCGAGGUGGUGGAGACGAAGUUCGGCGCGGAGGCGGCAAGCCCGGCGCGCCCGGUCAGCGGCAUGGACAACACCCA
rnacentral:lncRNA from 1 species